AACGCACGAGACCUGCGGACCUGCGGAAGGAUCAUUACUGGUUCUAUACCAAACACGCCGGUGGUGUGGGUCUCCCUCACCACCUGCAGUCAAACAACACACUCUUGUACUGAAAAUGACUGAAUCACUAUUAAAAGAUACAACUUUCAACAAUGGAUCUCU
rnacentral:misc_RNA from 1 species